rnacentral:misc_RNA from 1 species
GUAGGUGAACCUGCGGAAGGAUCAUUACAGAGUUCAUGCCCCUCGGGGUAGAUCUCCCACCCUUGUGUAUCGUUAUAGAAUGUUGCUUUGGCGGGCCGCGUUUCGGCGCCUGGAUUCGCGUCCAGCGUGCCCGCCAGAGGACCCCUAAACUCUGAAUGUUAGUGUCGUCUGAGUACUAUUAAAUAGUUAAAACUUUCAACAACGGAUCUCUUGGUUCUG